rnacentral:rRNA from 1 species
CUCGUAGGCGGGCUAAUAAGUCAGUGGUGAAAUCUCUCGGCUCAACCGGGAAACUGCCAUUGAUACUGUUAGUCUUGAGUUCGGUUGAGGUAGGCGGAAUGUGUAAUGUAGCGGUGAAAUGCUUAGAUAUUACACAGAACACCAAUUGCGUAGGCAGCUUACUAGACCGACACUGACGCUGAGGCACGAAAGCGUGGGGAGCGAACAGGAUUAGAUACCCUGGUAGUCC